rnacentral:rRNA from 1 species
AACACAUGCAAGUCGAGCGGAAACGAGUUAACUGAACCUUCGGGGAACGUUAACGGCGUCGAGCGGCGGACGGGUGAGUAAUGCCUAGGAAAUUGCCCUGAUGUGGGGGAUAACCAUUGGAAACGAUGGCUAAUACCGCAUAAUAGCUUCGGCUCAAAGAGGGGGACCUUCGGGCCUCUCGCGUCAGGAUAUGCCUAGGUGGGAUUAGCUAGUUGGUGAGGUAAGGGCUCACCAAGGCGACGAUCCCUAGCUGGUCUGAGAGGAUGAUCAGCCACACUGGAACUGAGACACGGUCCAGACUCCUACGGGAGGCAGCAGUGGGGAAUAUUGCACAAUGGGCGCAAGCCUGAUGCAGCCAUGCCGCGUGUGUGAAGAAGGCCUUCGGGUUGUAAAGCACUUUCAGCAGUGAGGAAGGCGGAGUCGUUAAUAGCGGCCUCGUUUGACGUUAGCUGCAGAAGAAGCACCGGCUAACUCCGUGCCAGCAGCCGCGGUAAUACGGAGGGUGCGAGCGUUAAUCGGAAUUACUGGGCGUAAAGCGCAUGCAGGUGGUUUGUUAAGUCAGAUGUGAAAGCCCGGGGCUCAACCUCGGAAUAGCAUUUGAAACUGGCAGACUAGAGUACUGUAGAGGGGGGUAGAAUUUC